rnacentral:misc_RNA from 1 species
CAAGCCUAUUACAGCCACGUCCACGAGGGUCACUCGGAGCUCCACUCGCCGAGCCAACUCCAACUCUUCCUUGCCGCCGGCUGAUUUACCUACUGAGAAAAUGAAUAAAGCAGCGGGAAAGAAGAAGUUGAAGACUGAAGGGAAAAAAGAGACCGAGACUAACGCCGAGGCAGUGAAAGAAGAGUCUAAGAAGGAGGAGAAUGGUGACGAUGAGACUAGGAAGACCAUUGUGAUUGAACACUGCAAACAAUGCACAUCAUUCAAGACAAGGGCUAUACAGGUGAAAAAUGGUCUAGAGAAUGCUGUCCCUGGCAUCAAUGUGCUACUUAACCCUGAUAAGGUAUGUUUGCUAAUGUUAUCAGAUUUGCUAAUGGUUAAAAGUGCUGUAUCUCAUUCUCAACAGAUCUAUUUUUAGUUUUAGAAAUUUGUGUUUCCUUCGAAAAAGUGUGUUUCAGCCUAACUGUUGUGAUUUCUUCAGUUCAAGGACUUUAAAUGACCAUAUGAUAGAAACCAUCUGAUUUUCACGUCCUUUAUGUAAAUUUGUAAGAAAAGUCAAAGAUUUACUUGUUAAAGUCAUUUAACAAUGUGAUUUUUAUUUAAUGCUGCAAAGUUUGAGCUUGGUGUCACUGUGUUAGAGUUAAAUUCUGUGUUAUUUGACUUUAUUUUGAGUUUAUUCUGAGAAUAUGUCAUUAAAUUCAAGGAUAUGUAUACAUCGACUUUAUGGUCAUGUCUUCUGUAAGGGUCUUUUGGAUGUUGAUUCUCUUUUUAUAUAUGUAUAAUGUCUUCAAUCAUUGAAGGGUUGUCAUGGAUGUGUGAGCCAAACUUUGUCAAAUCCGUGUAUAGAUUUCAACUAGGCGUUGGCCACUCACAUGUUUUGCAAAUUCAAGUCCUGAAAACUUCCACAUAUACAUAUUUCAUCGUUUUCUGUUGAUGUGACUGGAUUUUUAUGCUUUCUCUGAGUUGUACUAAGUGUUCCCUGCUUGUGUUGGUUCAUAAUUCUUCAGUAACAUAUAAAAAUACUGGCGCAGUAAGCUUUUUAAAGAACCAGUACUGUAUGCCUGCUUACUUUGCAUAAAGAAACAUCUGCAUAUAAUGUGUAUAUUACUAUUGAGCUUUAUCUAUUGUUUGUAGACAUUUUUCUUUAGUUGAUGCAUUUUUUUGACAGCCUAGAAGGGGUUGCUUUGAAAUAUGGGAGGAAGGUGGAGAAAAGUUCAUCAGUGUUCUGGUAAAACUUCCAAUAGAAGUAUCUAUAAGUGGCACAUUUAUUUUAUUCUUUUGCAUGGUUUUCUUUUGAGUCUUAAAAUUACGCUAGUUAUGUCUCUGUCAAUAAAAUGUACAGCAAUGCCAUUCUUGUGCAAUCAAGGUCUGAAAGUUUACUCUUGCUGUUAAAAUGACUGCUAUAAUUGAUUCUUUCAGGGUGCAUAUAGAAAACGAUUUGGAAUUGUUUAUAAGAUAUUACUAGUCUUUUGGUCUCAGCUUUGUGACAUGUUGAAGUUGUAGAUCCUACAGUUGCAUCAACUAACUGGUCACAUAUAUUUAUUGAUAUGUAGAAUUGCAAAUGUCUUUGUGUAAAUAUUCUGGCACCGAAGUCAAAAUAUUCUCACUGAUCAUACUGUUAAAAGUAGCAUUAUUUCUCCUUUUGAUUGGGUCUUCACUUUGCUAUCAAGUCGUUAAUCCUGGGAAUUCCCAAAGUCUUUCUUCUCCACAGUGUAGCUUAUUCAGAUCUGUUCUGUUAAGGUCUGUUGAUGGGAUUAUAACUUUUCCUGAUCUGUUUACUGAAUGGACAUGAUCUGAGAUUCCCUUUCAAACAGGAUGCAUCGUGUUGUUUCAUUCUGUAUAAAUAUAAUAGUGCUUGCUCUAGGUUUGCCUUCACAUUGUCUUUUUG